GCAAAACACAGAUAUCGACCGAUAGCGCAUAGUACCAUGAGGGAAAGGUGAAAAGCACCCCGGGAGGGGAAUGAAACAGAACCUGAAACCGUAUGUUUACAAGCAGUCGGAGACCGUAUAUAUAUCAGGUCGACGGCGUGCCUAUUGAAGAAUGAACCGGCGAGUUAUGAGGUCCAGCGAGGUUAAGCAGGAAAUGCGGAGCCGAAGCGAAAGCGAGUCUUAACAGGGCGAGUAGUUGGACUGCAUAGACCCGAAACCACAGUGAUCUACCCAUGUCCAGGUUGAAGCACAGGUAAAAAUGUGUGGAGGACCGAACCUAUAUCCGUUGAAAAGGGUUAGGAUGAGGUGUGGGUAGGGGUGAAAUUCCAAUCGAACGUGGAGAUAGCUGGUUCUCCCCGAAAUAGCUUUAGGGCUAGCCUCAGGGUAAAGAUUGCAGGCGGUAGAGCACUGAUCAGGAGAGGGACCUACCCGGUUACCAAACCCAGUCAAACUACGAAUGGCUGCAAUUAUACCUGGGAGUCAGACUACGACUUAUAAGGGCCGUGGUCAAAAGGGAAACAGCCCAGAUCAUCAGCUAAGGUCCCAAAUGCCGUGCUAAGUGGCGAAGGAUGUGGCGUUUCAUAAACAACCAGGAUGUUGGCUCAGAAGCAGCCACCAUUUAAAGAGUGCGUAAUAGCUCACUGGUCGAGAGACGCUGCGCCGAAAAUGUCCGGGGCUCAAGCACGGAACCGAAGCUAUGGCAUUGCGUAAGCAAUGGGUAGGGGAGCGUUCUUAUGGGGAAGAAGCAUUACCGUAAGGAGAUGUGGACACAUAAGAAGUGAGAAUGCCGGUAUGAGUAUCGAAAAGAAAGGUGAGAAUCCUUUCCACCGAAAGCCCGAGGGUUCCUGAGCAACGAUCGUCGUCUCAGGGUAAGUCGGGACCUAAGCCGAGGCACAGACGCAUAGGCGAUGGACAACAGGUUGAAAUUCCUGUACCGGAUGGAGUCAUUUGAGCAAUGGAGUGACGCAGGAGGGCACAUGAUCGCGCGACUGGAAGAGCGCGUCCAAGUGCGUAUGUUGAAUCGGAGGCAAAUCCCCGAUUCUGAAAGCAGAGACAUGAUGGGGAGUUAUAAGCGAUUAUGACGAACUCAUGGAUCCCACACUGCCAAGAAAAACUUCUAGCGAGACGAAAUCCGCCCGUACCGUAAACCGACACAGGUAGGCGGGGAGAGAAUCCUAAGGUGCGCGGGAAAACCCUCGUUAAGGAACUCGGCAAAUUGCAUCCGUAACUUCGGGAGAAGGAUGGCCCUGAGUAGGCGAAGUGCAGAAACGCACGGAACAGAAAAGGGUGGCAGAAAAGAGGCCCAAGCAACUGUUUACCAAAAACACAGGUGCCUGCGAAAGCGAAAGCUGAAGUAUAGGUGCUGACGCCUGCCCGGUGCUGGAAGGUUAAGGAGAGAGGUUAGCGCAAGCGAAGCUUUGAACUGAAGCCCCAGUGAACGGCGGCCGUAACUAUAACGGUCCUAAGGUAGCGAAAUUCCUUGUCGGGUAAGUUCCGACCCGCAUGAAAGGCGUAAUGAUUUGGGCGCUGUCUCAACGAGGGGCCCGGUGAAAUUGAAAUACCUGUGAAGAUGCAGGUUACCCGCGACUGGACAGAAAGACCCCAUGGAGCUUUACUGCAGCUUGAGAUUGAAUCCCGGUGGCAGACGCACAGGAUAGGUGGGAGGCUUUGAGAUAGUGACUUUGGUUGCUAUGGAGCCGACGUUGGGAUACCACCCUUCUGUUGCUGGGAUUCUAACGCGAAGAUUAACAACCUUGCGGACCAUCUCAGGUAGGCGGUUUGACUGGGGCGGUCGCCUCCGAAAGAGU
rnacentral:rRNA from 1 species